GAUGAAGAACGCAGCGAAAUGCGAUACGUAAUGUGAAUUGCAGAAUUCAGUGAAUCAUCGAAUCUUUGAACGCACAUUGCGCCCCUUGGUAUUCCAUGGGGCAUGCCUGUUCGAGCGUCAUUUGUACCUUCAAGCUUUGCUUGGUGUUGGGUGUUUGUCCAUUCUCUUGCAGAGGGACUCGCCUUAAAGUAAUUGGCAGCCAGUGUUUUGGUUUUGAAGCGCAGCACAAGUCGCGAUUCAACGCUAUACGCCAGCUUCCACAAGCCUUUUUCACUUUUGACCUCGGAUCAGGUAGGGAUACCCGCUGAACUUAAGCAUAUCAAUAAGCGGGGA
rnacentral:misc_RNA from 1 species